rnacentral:rRNA from 1 species
CCAAAUCCGUCACAUAAGCCGAAGACGUGAUGUGGAGCGAAAUUAAGUAGUGAGGUAUGUGAGCCAUGUGCCGAGAAAAGCCGCUAUUGUUUUAUAUGUGCCCGUACCGUAAACCGACACAGGUGGAUGAGGAGAGAAUCCUAAGGCCGACGGAAGAAGCAUUGUUAAGGAAUUCGGCAAAAUGACCCCGUAACUUCGGGAGAAGGGGUGCCCACUGAAUGGUGGGCCGCAGAGAAUAGGCUCAAGCAACUGUUUAGCAAAAACACAGGUCUAUGCGAAACCGAAAGGUGAAGUAUAUGGGCUGACGCCUGCCCGGUGCUGGAAGGUUAAGAGGAGAGGUUAGCGCAAGCGAAGCUUUGAAUUUAAGCCCCAGUAAACGGCGGCCGUAACGAUAACGGUCCUAAGGUAGCGAAAUUCCUUGUCGGGUAAGUUCCGACCCGCACGAAAGGCGUAAUGAUUUGAGCACUGUCUCGACAAUGCAUCCGGUGAAAUUGAAGUACCAGUGAAGAUGCUGGUUACCCGCGCCAGGACGGAAAGACCCCAUGGAGCUUUACUCCAGUUUGAUACUGGGAUUCGGUACUGCACGUACAGGAUAGGUGGGAGACUGAGAACUAUGGACGCCAGUCUGUAGGGAGUCGCUGUUGGGAUACCACCCCUGUAGUACUGGGUUUCUAACCAUCUGCCGUGAUCCGGCAGUGGGACAAUGUCAGGCGGGGAGUUUGACUGGGGCGGUCGCCUCCGAAAGGGUAUCGGAGGCGCUCAAAGGUUCCCUCAGAAUGGUCGGAAACCAUUUGAAGAGUGCAAAGGCAGAAGGGAGCUUGACUGCGACACCGACGGGUGGAGCAGGUACGAAAGUAGGACUUAGUGAUCCGGUGGUAUAAAGUGGGAUUGCCAUCGCUCAACGGAUAAAAGCUACCCUGGGAUAACAGGCUUAUCACUCCCAAGAGUUCACAUCGACGGAGUGGUUUGGCACCUCGAUGUCGGCUCAUCGCAUCCUGGGGCUGUAGCAGGUCCCAAGGGUUGGGCUGUUCGCCCAUUAAAGCGGUACGCGAGCUGGGUUCAGAACGUCGUGAGACAGUUCGGUCCCUAUCCGGCGCGGGCGGAGGAUAUUUGAGAGGAGCUGUCCUUAGUACGAGAGGACCGGGAUGGACGGACCACUGGUGUAUCUGUUGUCGACCAACGGCAUGGCAGAGUAGCCAAGUCUGGAAGGGAUAAACGCUGAAGGCAUCUAAGCGUGAAGCCCCCCUCAAGAUGAGAUAUCCCUCCUUCGGGAGUAAGACCCCUUGAAGACUACAAGGUAGAUAGGGCAGAGGUGGAAGUGUGGCAACACAUGGAGCUGACUGUUACUAAUAGGUCGAGGGCUUGAC